AUUGAACGCUGGCGGCAGGCCUAACACAUGCAAGUCGAACGAGUGGCGGACGGGCGUGUAAUGUCUGGGAAACUGCCUGAUGGAGGGGGUAAACUACUGGAAACGGUAGCUAUUACCGCAUACCAUCGGAUGUGCCCAGCUGGGAUUGGCUAGUAGGUGGGGUAAAGGCUCACCUAGGCGACGAUCCCUAGCUGGUCUGAGAGGGUGAACGGCCACACUGGAACUGAGAAACGGUCCAGACUCCUACGGGAGGCAGCAGUGGGGAAUAUUGCACAAUGGGCGCAAGCCUGAUGCAGCCAGGCCGCGUGUGUGAAGAAGGCGUUCGGGUUGUAAAGUACUGUCAGCGGGGAGGCGUUACCCGCAGAAGAAGCACCGGCUAACUCCGUGCCAGCAGCCGCGGUAAUUC
rnacentral:rRNA from 1 species